AUUGAACGCUGGCGGCAGGCCUAACACAUGCAAGUCGAACGAGUGGCGGACGGGUGAGUAAUGUCUGGGAAACUGCCUGAUGGAGGGGGCUAACUACUGGAAACGGUAGCUAAUACCGCAUACCAUCAGAUGUGCCCAUAUGGGAUUAGCUUGUUGGUGGGGUAAAGGCUCACCAAGGCGACGAUCCCUAGCUGGUCUGAGCGGAUGACCAGCCACACUGGACCUGAGACACGUGCGAGACUCCUACGGGAGGCAGCAGUGGGGAAUAUUGCCAAAUGGGCGCAAGUCUGCUGCAGCCAUGCCGCGUGUAUGAAGAGGGCCUUCGGGUUGUAAAGUACUUUCAGCGGGGAGGCGUUACCCGCAGAAGAAGCACCGGCUAACUCCGUGCCAGCAGCCGCGGUAAUUC
rnacentral:rRNA from 1 species